rnacentral:rRNA from 1 species
UCGUGGAGUGAUUUGUCUGGUUUAUUCCGAUAACGAACGAGACUCUAGCCUGCUAAAUAGCGAGCGGAUAGUUCGGUCCGCAGCGCUUCUUAGAGGGAUAAGCGGCCUCUAGCCGCAUGAAAUUGAGCAAUUACA